CAAUCAGAGGCUGCAAAUUUAAAUUUGGCGCACUUGCGUCCUAACGGCUGUGAGUGGCGGUACUAGUGCGAGCAGCAGAGCCAGAGCGGGAGUUUUCAAACUCCAGUGGAUUCCUAUGGUAGCCAGGUAGGCACCGCGGGAAACAUCUCUGAGAACAGCAGUGAGCAGUAGCGUGCGAGUGAGUGACUGUGAAGAAAUUUCUUCCGCUCCGAUGGAAAUAUAUGACAUGUAGGCUACAUUUAAAGCGCCAAUACUUUUGAAACUGUGAGGAAAACAACGCGCCUUUAGCGCCUGCUUCACUAUACUCGUCUCACCAUGUCAGUCAGAGCAACCGACCGCCGGAUGAGGUAAGCGUUUUAUAACACAUUUAAACGAUUAUUUUAUUAUUUCAUGUCGUGUGCUGCACUUUUUGUCUUGAAGCUAAUUGUUAGAACUCUUCUGAUAAACCUGGAGGCCUAACGUUACUGUAAUGUUAGCUAAGGAGUAACGUUAACGUUAGUAUAUAUAAUACAGUAAUUUGUGUUCUCAAGAUAAAAGUUUUUUUUUCAGAGACGUUUUUAUGAACGUUUUUGGUUAUAGAAAUGUGUUUCCGAUCCAGAUAGAUGAUUAUUACACCUGUAGGUAAAGUUACACUGCAAAAAAUGACAUUCUUGCUAAGUGACAACAAAUCUCACCCCAUUGGCAGAUUUUUUUGCCUGUUUUUACCAUAAACGUACUUAAUUCUUAUAUAAUUUUACAUAAAACAAGACUAAGGCCCGGUUUCAAAGACAAGGCUUAGCCUUAGCCAGGAUUAUGCCUUAGUUAAAUUAGGCUAUUUAAGUUGCUUUUAUUAAAAUGCAACAGAAAAAACAUUACUGAUGUGCAUCUUAAAACAAAACAAUGGCACUGAUAUAUUUAAAAAAUUUCAGUUAAGACAGCUCAAAAUUCAUUUUAGUCUGGGACUAGUCUUAAACCUUGUCUGUGAAACCGAGCCUAAAUACCUUUGGUCACUUUUCUUGUCAAGUAAUUGUAUAUCGAUUUAAGAAGUUUUAGAUAUUUUUAAUAAAAACAAGACAAAACUGCUGCUUAGUAAGAAUGGCACUUUUUGCAGUGUAGGUAAAAAUGAUCUAAUGUUUUCCCUAUACAUUUUGUUUUAAUUUCAUAGCAAUACUCUAACGUUAUAUCUUAAUUUUCUUGUUGAUGUUUUGUAUGUCUAUCUGUGGAACUUGUGCUUUGUAUGUGUAAAUGUUAAUACAAACAAUUUAUUUUUAAUAUUUUAUUUUCAGGUUCUAGGGAUCUAAUGCUUGUGAUAAUCUACAGCAGAUGACCAUGACAAUCCAGGUUCUGGGGAUCUAAUGCUUGUGAUAAUCUACCGCAGGUGACCAUGACAAUCCAGGUACUGUGAACUACUGCUUUUGCUAAUCUACCGCAGGUGACCAUGACAAUCCAGGUUCUGUGAACUACUGCUUGUGAUAAUCUACAGCAGAUGACCAUGACAAUCCAGGUUCUGUGGAUCGACUGCUUGUGCUAAUCUACCGCAGGUGACCAUAACAAUCCAGCAGAUAACUUCAGGAUUUAUAGAAGGCAUAUAAUGACAGUGAGCGGGACCAAAACUCUUGACAAUCUAAGUCACCUAUAGGUAGCAUAAGUAAUCUAUAUGACUCAAGUUGUUCAAAUAAUGUCUAGAUGUGUAACAAAUUCCUUGCAUGUACAGAGCUAUGUUC